rnacentral:misc_RNA from 1 species
AACGCACAUUGCGCCUCUUGGUAUUCCGAGAGGCACACCUGUUCGAGCGUCAUUACAACCCUCAAGCUUUGCUUGGUAUUGGGCACUGUUUCCCCCCUCGGGGAGAAACAGGCCUCAAAGACCUCGGCGGCGUGGUCCGGCUUCGAGCGUAGCAGAAAAACUUUCGCUCAUGGAGUUGUGGAUAGCGCUUUGUCCGUGAAAUCUUAUUUUUUCAAAGGUUGACCUCGGAUCAGGUGGGGAUACCCGCUGAACUUAA